GACGAACGCUGGCGGCGUGCUUAACACAUGCAAGUCGAACGGAAAGGCCCUGCUUGCAGGGUGCUCGAGUGGCGAACGGGUGAGUAACACGUGGGUGAUCUGCCCCUUACUUUGGGAUAAGCCUGGGAAACUGGGUCUAAUACUGGAUAGGACCAUGCUGUAGGUGGUGUGGUGGAAAGAUUAGUUUCGGUAAGGGAUGAGCUCGCGGCCUAUCAGCUUGUUGGUGGGGUAAUGGCCUACCAAGGCGUCGACGGGUAGCCGGCCUGAGAGGGUGGACGGCCACAUUGGGACUGAGAUACGGUCCAGACUCCUACGGGAGGCAGCAGAGGGGAAUAUUGCACAAUGGGCGCAAGCCUGAUGCAGCGACGCCGCGUGGGGGAUGACGGCCUUCGGGUUGUAAACUCCUUUCAGCCAUGACGAAGCCCUUGUGGUGACGGUAGUGGUAGAAGAAGCACCGGCUAACUACGUG
rnacentral:rRNA from 1 species